UACUGGCAAAGCCAAGGGCAGUUCUGUUGGAUACUAGCUGGACAAGUGGCUGAACAGGAUCGUUCACGAACAAGCUUCUAAGGUUUGAAGGUAAAGUGGGGAUACAGUCACUUGAUAAGAAAUCAUCUUUAACCAAUCGUCACAUUUUCAGUUCAUCCGUAAUCAUGUCACUCCAUGGACAAGAGUUUUGGACAUUGUUUGAUCUGCAAAUCAAAAGCCUAAGUUGCAUUCUCUGCUCACUGCCUGGCGAUCGUUCUUCACUUCAGACAUAACAAGGCUCAAAAUUUGGAAUCAUUCCCAUGGCCCCUGCAUUACCGUCUGCUACACUGAUGGAUGAGAAACACAUGCAUCUGGAAGUUCAGGACAAACUUCAAUCACUAGUGGAUGUGGGCCAACACUCACUGUGUAGUUUCUAGCCAUUGUUCCAUCAUGAUGUAGUAAAGUUGUAGGAAUGUCAAUUGUUUGUCUUCCAUGAAAUAUUGUAUGGUUGAGAGCCAUGAAAAUGCCUUUCCACAUCAGGUUUCUAUGCAGGUCAUGAGUGAGGCUUCGUACCAGUGCUGUCCCUACAAUGAUCACCACUUGGUCCCCAGCAUUUCUGCUCCAGACAACUUGAAGAUAGAUCAAGAAUACAGGAUGGAUGAUGGAGAUCAGCAACAGCUGCAGUAUUAUGAGGAGUAAGAACGUGAGGAUAUCCUUCAUACAGAGCAAUAUCUUCAGCACAGGUACAUUGGCCAGCAUAAUAGAGGCACAACCUCUUUGUAAACCUUGUGCAAUGGAUCUGAUUUACUGUAAGACAUCUUUCAAUGAUUGUAAAUGUUUUGAUGCUGCUGAGACCAACAUCCCCUGUGUAAUUCCAACUACAAGUUCAUGCUCUGCCGUUCCUGUUGUAUA